rnacentral:rRNA from 1 species
GACGAACGCUGGCGGCGUGCUUAACACAUGCAAGUCGAACGGAAAGGCCCCUUCGGGGGUACUCGAGUGGCGAACAGGUGAGUAACACGUGAGUAACCUGCCCUUGACUUCGGGAUAACGUCAGGAAACUGGGGCUAAUACCGGAAAGGAAUCCUUGCUGCAUGGGGGGGGUUGGAAAGCUUCGGCGGUUUUGGAUGGAUUCGCGGCUUAUCAGCUUGUUGGUGUGGUAGUGGCUUACCAAGGCUGUGACGGGUAGCCGGCCUGAGAGGGCGACCGGCCACACUGGGACUGAGAUGCGGCCCCGAUUCCUACGGGAGGCAGAAGUGGGGAAUCUUGCCCGAUGGGCGGCGGCCUGAUGCAGCGACGCCGCGUGCGGGAUGACGGCCUUCGGGUUGUAAACCGCUUUCAGCAGGGGCGAAGCUUGUGGUGACGGUACCUGCAGAAGAAGCACCGGCUAACUACGUG